rnacentral:lncRNA from 1 species
UAACUCGAACUUAGAACAUGUAUAUGGUAAUAAUAGUAAAAAUAAAAAACCCGAACUCCAUUUACAUGACAAGACAGAAACUAAUUUUUGUAUGUAUAUUUCUAAUUUUUGUUAUUAUGAUAAAAAUGUAGAUAACAGCAUACUAAAUAGCUUGAUGCUAAAUAACUGCAUAGAAGAAGAAAAAAAAAAAAAGACGAAUGAAUUUAGGAACUUAAAAUAUAAUAAUCUAACUGCUUGUAUUACUAACAAAAAAAAAUGUACUGAAAAUUGUAUUAAUAUGAAUAAAAAAACAUUUGACAGUUUAAAAAAAAAAAUAAAAGAAAGCAACAGUUCAUAUGAUGUUAAUAGUAUGGUGAAUCUUCAUAAUAUAAAUAUAAAUAAAAAUGAUUAUAUUAUUAUAAAUGGAGAUGAUAAAUAUGAUUGUGAUAAGCAAAAGAAAGAUGUUUUAAAAAGUAUUAACACAAAAAAAAAAAAAAAUUACUUAAGUAUGAACAAUGAAAGUAAGAAAAUUUAUAAUAACAUAUUGAUGUAUGUUAAAAAGUGUACUGAUAGCGGAAGUGGUGAUAAUAAUAGUAACAGUAGUAAAGACAAAAAAUAUGACAGUUCGGAUGAUAAAAAUGAUAAUAAUUAUGAUGGUAGUGGUGACAACAAUGGCUGUAACAGUGGCGGUAACAGCAGUGGUAGUAGCGGUGGUAGUAGCGGUGGUAGUGAUGAUGGGAAUGACAAAAAUGACAAAAAUGGAGAUGAAGGAAAAAAUGAAGAUGAGGAAAAAAAUGAAAAUGAGGACAAAAAUGAAGAUGAGGACAAAAAUGAAGAUGAGGAAAAAAAUGAAAAUGAAGAAAAGGACUUAACCAAAAAAGGAAGUGAUAAUGAGUCCGAUAGUAGAAAACAUAAAAAUAAUAGUAACAAUAUAAAUUAUGAUGAAAGUUCUAUAAACAUAAAUAAUAACAAAAUUGACAUUGUUACUACUGGUGGAAUUACUAAAAUAGAAAACACUAACAGUUUUAAAGAAAGUAUACAAAAUGGUAACAUUGAAAAUAUAAAUAAAAAUGUUGUUAUGAACAAUUACAAUAAUAUUAAUAACAUUCAGAUUAAUAAUAAAACAAAUGGUUAUACUAACAUUAAUAUGAAUGGAGUAAUAAAAUGUUUCGAACAAGAUCAGAUUUCAAAUGAACAACAAAAAAAAAUAUUAUUAAAUAAUACAAAACUACCUGAACAUAUGCAAUUAAAUAUGAAUAUACAAAAUAAAAUAGCGUUUCAGGACAUAAGUAGUUGUAAAAAUAAUGUGGAUAAUAUAAAUGGUAGUAAUUGUGAUAUAUCAAAUUUGAAUUUUAAUAAUAAUAUGAAUUGUGGUAAUAAUGUUACUAGUUCAGUCGGUAAUACGAUAACACAAUAUAACAAUACAAAGAGUAACGAAGUUUUAUUAUCAAUAAAUAAAAAUAUAAAUAAUAACAUUUCAUAUUACAAUAAUAAAAAUAUGUCCAUUCCAUCUGAGAUGGUAA